GACGGUACCCAAGAAGAAAGCCCCGGCUAACUACGUGCCAGCAGCCGCGGUAAUACGUAGGGGGCGAGCGUUGUCCGGAAUUACUGGGCGUAAAGGGUGCGUAGGCGGCCCUUUAAGUCGGAUGUGAAAGCCCGCGGCUUAACCGCGGAAUGGCAUUCGAAACUGGAGGGCUUGAGUGUCGGAGAGGGUAGUGGAAUUCCCAGUGUAGCGGUGAAAUGCGUAGAUAUUGGGAGGAACACCAGUGGCGAAGGCGACUACCUGGACGAUAACUGACGCUGAGGCACGAAAGCUAGGGGAGCUAACAGGAUUAGAUACCCUGGUAGUCCUAGCCGUAAACGCCGCUUCCUAGGUGUGGGUGGUUUCGAUACCAUCCGUGCCGUAGUUAACGCAUUAAGUACCCCGCCKGGG
rnacentral:rRNA from 1 species